rnacentral:rRNA from 1 species
GUGCAGUGGGAGUGCUAUACAUGCAAGUCGAGCGGACAGAUGGGAGCUUGCUCCCUGAUGUUAGCGGCGGACGGGUGAGUAACACGUGGGUAACCUGCCUGUAAGACUGGGAUAACUCCGGGAAACCGGGGCUAAUACCGGAUGCUUGAUUGAACCGCAUGGUUCAAUUAUAAAAGGUGGCUUCGGCUACCACUUACAGAUGGACCCGCGGCGCAUUAACUAAUUGGUGAGGGAACGGCUCACCAAGGGAACGAUGCGUAACCGACCUGAGAGGGUGAUCGGCCACACUGGGACUGAAACACGGCCCAGACUCCUACGGGAGGCAGCAGUAGGGAAUCUUCCGCAAUGGACGAAAGUCUGACGGAGCAACGCCGCGUGAGUGAUGAAGGGUUUCGGAUCGUAAAACUCUGGUGGUAAGGAAGAACAAGUACCGUUCGAAUAGGGCGGUACCUUGACGGUACCUAACCAGAAAGCCACGGCUAACUACGUGCCAGCAGCCGCGGCAAUACGUAAGUGGCAAGCGUUGUCCGGAAUUAUUGGGCGUAAAGCGCGCGCAGGCGGUUUCUUAAGUCUGAUGUGAAAGCCCCCGGCUCAACCGGGGAGGGUCAUUGGAAACUGGGGAACUUGAGUGCAGAAGAGGAGAGUGGAAUUCCACGUGUAGCGGUGAAAUGCGUAGAGAUGUGGAAGGAACACCAGUGGCGAAAGCGACUCUCUGGUCUGUAACUGACGCUGAAGCGCGAAAGCGUGGGGAGCGCAACAGGAUUACAUACCCUGGUAGUCCACGCCGUAAACGAUGAAUGCUUACGUGCUAGAGGGAUUCCGCCCUUUAAUGCUGCAGCAAACGCAUUUAGCACUCCUGCUUGGGGAGGUACGGUCUGAGACUUGAAAUCAAAUGGAAUUGACCGUAAUA